CUUCACUUGUACACACUUGUACAUUUUGCUUUUGUGCCUUCUUGUGAAAGGGGUGUGUCCUCUGCUGACAGAAGGCUCAGGGACCCAGGCAUUGAGAGAGCAGUCUCAGAAUGACUCAGUCACAUGUCCUGUUCUCCUUGUGCAGCAUUAAGACCAGAAGGCUCAGCUGUCCUGUGCUCUCCCACCAUGAGUGUCAGCCUCCUGUGCUGGGCGGCCUUUUGUCUCCUGUUUGCAGGUGCAGCACAUGCAGUUGUCACUCAGAGCCCCACAUUCCAGAUCCUAAAGGCAGGACAGAGACUGACAAUGACGUGUUACCAGGAUCUGAAACACGACUACAUGUACUGGUACCGCCAGCACCCAGGACAGGGACUGAAGCUGAUUCAUUACUCAUUUGAUGUUGGCACCAGUGAGAAAGGAGAAGUCCCAGAUGGGUAUAAUGCAUCUAGACCAAGCACAGAGAACUUCCUGCUCACCGUGGAGUCAGUUGCCUCCUCACAGACAGCUAUGUAUUUCUGUGCCAGCAGUUAUCCACAGCGCUAUACAGCCACAUCCUCUCUGCACACAAACAUGUUUCAGGCUCUGCUCCCACAGACCUCAAAACACCCUUAAACAGUU